CCUACGGGGGGCAGCAGUGGGGAAUAUUGCACAAUGGGGGAAACCCUGAUGCAGCGACGCCGCGUGAGUGAAGAAGUAUUUCGGUAUGUAAAGCUCUAUCAGCAGGAACGAGACAAGACGGUACCUGACUAAGAAGCCCCGGCUAACUACGUGCCAGCAGCCGCGGUAACACGUAGGGGGCAAGCGUUAUCCGGAAUCACUGGGUGGAAAGGGAGCGUAGACGGCUGUGCAAGCCUGAAGUGAAAGGCGGGGGCCCAACCCCUGGACUGCUUUGGGAACUGUACGGCUGGAGUGCAGGAGAGGUAAGUGGAAUUCCUAGGGGAGCGGUGAAAUGCGUAGAUAUUAGGAGGAACACCAGUGGCGAAGGCGGCUUACUGGACUGUAACUGACGUUGAGGCUCGAAAGCGUGGGGAGCAAACAGGAUUAGAUACCCCUGUAGUA
rnacentral:rRNA from 1 species